rnacentral:rRNA from 1 species
CCUACGGGCGGCAGCAGUGAGGAAUAUUGGUCAAUGGACGAGAGUCUGAACCAGCCACGUAGCGUGAAGGAUGACUGCCCUAUGGGUUGUAAACUUCUUUUAUAAAGGAAUAAAACGAGGCACGUGUGCCUUUUUGCAUGUACUUUAUGAAUAAGGAUCGGCUAACUCCGUGCCAGCAGCCGCGGUAAUACGGAGGAUGCGAGCGUUAUCCGGAUUGAUUGGGUUUAAAGGGAGCGUAGAUGGGUUGUUAAGUCAGUUGUGAAAGUUUGCGGCUCAACCGUAAAAUUGCAAUUGAUACUGGCAGUCUUGAGUACAGGUGAGGUAGGCGGAAUUCGUGGUGUAGCGGUGAAAUGCUUAGAUAUCACGAAGAACCCCGAUUGUGAAGGCAGCUUACUAAACUGUGACUGACAUUGAUGCUCGAAAGUGUGGGUAUCAAACAGGAUUAGAUACCCGAGUAGUC